GACGAACGCUGGCGGCGUGCUUAACACAUGCAAGUCGAACGGAAAGGCCCUGCUUUUGUGGGGUGCUCGAGUGGCAAACGGGUGAGUAACACGUGAGUAACCUGCCCUUGACUUUGGGAUAACUUCAGGAAACUGGGGCUAAUACCGGAUAGGAGCUCCUGCUGCAUGGUGGGGGUUGGAAAGUUUCGGCGGUUGGGGAUGGACUCGCGGCUUAUCAGCUUGUUGGUGGGGUAGUGGCUUACCAAGGCUUUGACGGGUAGCCGGCCUGAGAGGGUGACCGGCCACAUUGGGACUGAGAUACGGCCCAGACUCCUACGGGAGGCAGCAGUGGGGAAUAUUGCACAAUGGGCGGAAGCCUGAUGCAGCAACGCCGCGUGCGGGAUGACGGCCUUCGGGUUGUAAACCGCUUUCGCCUGUGACGAAGCGUGAGUGACGGUAAUGGGUAAAGAAGCACCGGCUAACUACGUG
rnacentral:rRNA from 1 species